CGAUUAGGGCCUGGUUAGUACUGGGGUGGGGGACUGCCCGGGAACACCCUCAGGUGCUGUCAGCU
rnacentral:rRNA from 1 species